AGGAUUCCCCUAGUAACUGCGAGUGAAGCGGGAAAAGCUCAAAUUUAAAAUCUGGUAGCCUUCGGUUGCCCGAGUUGUAGUCUGGAGAAGCGUUUUCCGCGCUGGACCGUGUACAAGUCUCUUGGAACAGAGCGUCAUAGAGGGUGAGAAUCCCGUCUUUGACACGGACUACCAGUGCUUUGUGAUGCGCUCUCAAAGAGUCGAGUUGUUUGGGAAUGCAGCUCAAAAUGGGUGGUAAAUUCCAUCUAAAGCUAAAUAUUGGCGAGAGACCGAUAGCGAACAAGUACCGUGAGGGAAAGAUGAAAAGCACUUUGGAAAGAGAGUUAAACAGUACGUGAAAUUGCUGAAAGGGAAACGCUUGAAGUCAGUCGCGUCUUCUAGUACUCAGCCUUCCUUUUGGUUGGUGCAUUUACUAGUCGACGGGCCAGCAUCAGUUUUGGCUGCGGGAUAAAGGUCAGAGGAAUGUGGCACCCUCGGGUGUGUUAUAGCCUUUGGUCAUAUACCGUGGCUGGGACUGAGGAUCUCAGCAUGCCUUUAUGGCGGGGGUUCGCCCACCUUCAUGCUUAGGAUGCUGGCGUAAUGGCUUUAAACGACCCGUCUUGAAACACGGACCAAGGAGUCUAACAUGCCUGCGAGUGUUUGGGUGGUAAACCCGAGCGCGUAAUGAAAGUGAAAGUUGGGAUCUCUGUCGUGGAGAGCACCGACGCCCGGACCAGACCUUCUGUGACGGCUCCGCGGUAGAGCAUGUAUGUUGGGACCCGAAAGAUGGUGAACUAUGCCUGAAUAGGGUGAAGCCAGAGGAAACUCUGGUGGAGGCUCGUAGCGAUUCUGACGUGCAAAUCGAUCGUCAAAUUUGGGUAUAGGGGCGAAAGACUAAUCG
rnacentral:rRNA from 2 species